AGAGGGCCUUCUAGUUUCGUCCAACCCUCCAACUGUUCUGGUUGAGGAUGAUGACUUGCUGGAGGCGCUCUUAGGGAAAAGAUCCGGCAAGGAGCCGAUGGUAGAUGAGGGGGAAAAUUUGAUACAUUCGAGCAAACAUUUUUGCAAAGCGGCCACAAUUCUUUUGAUAGGGUUAUGACUUCUGGAACACGACUCUGAUAUGGAGGGCGUAGACCCUUACUUUGAAUGUCUGCUUAAGGUGCCUUUGUGUUCGGAGUCUAAAGAAUCCACCCUCCUUAGAAGAAUGUUGUUGGUAGAAAUCCCUAUUGAUAUGAACAUCUUCUGGAGGCUCAAAAAUGGCUCCAUUGUUCAAAGGUUUCAUCAUGUCCUUGGAGCAGGAGUACAUAGAGAUGGCUUCAACGAUGGCCCUUGCUAAUCAUGUGGCGCAUUCACAAUUUAAGGUUGACACAAGCCUUGGCAUAGAGGAAUGUAAAGAGGAAAGCUUUGUCCGCAAAGGCCUAAGAAGCUUCUAAGAGGGUUGGCCAGUUGUAGCAGGAGAAAGAGACUUUGGCGAUCGAGUUCUCCUGCCAAUUUCGCGAGCUGGAUUAGAAGGUGCAAAGAUUCAAGAUUGACAUCAAAAGGAAAGAAGAUCAUCACCUACGUUGUAUGGAGGAAUGGAAUCGAGAUAUAUUUAAGUUCCAAGCCCUAAAGGAUCGGUGCCAAAUGCUAUUCACAAAAGUGGUUGAGCUUACAAGCAAAUUAGAACUCUUAAAGGAAGAGAGGAACACGUUCUGGGCCUAAUGGUUUGGCGCUGCCUUAGAACUAAAGGAGAUUAAAGAAGAGGCGAAAAAAGAUGAAAAUUACACCUACUUGCUUGCCGACAGGAAGGCCCUUAAUGAAAUCUGUUCCGUGUAUUUCUUCUAGGAUGAAUAUAUUGCAAGGCAAGAUGCUCUUGUAGAUGGAGAAAAGAGUUAAAGUUCCUCUGCCUCAGGUGACUCCGAAGAAUCCGGGAAUGAAUGAGAAGAAGAGGAUGAGGGCGAGGCCCCUGAUGAAGUCCUCGGGGUGAGGGUACUUGAAGCGUAACCUUUGUCUUAAGUUCUUGCAAUUGAUCCUUCUUCAUCUCUUUCUUAUUCCUUCCAAUCAUCCUUCCCGAGAAUAUGGGGUUCUCUAACAUCUCCCUUGUAAAAGUUUUUUGAAUGAUGGGUCAUUUGUGCCUUUUAUAAUAUCGAUUUUAUUUAUGCC